GAGAAGGCUGGGGCUGGGAGGAAAUGUCCUUGGAAGACGGAUUCCUCCAUCCGCUGUUUCAGCCCUUGUUUGUUUUCUGGUGGAAAUUAAUUUCUCAAAGGCCCUCCGUGUUGGAAAGGGCACGCUGAUACGUGGAGGGAAAUGAGGAACUGGAAACAAGAUGCGCCUUAGCAGGCUGCAGGAUGGAACCUUCGUGCUUGCAGGUGGUGAGAAGUGACCUUCGGGAGGAACCCACGCUGAUGUGUUGAGUUUUGCUGGGAUUCUUCAGUGCAAUUUGGGCUCUGAUACAUAAGUAAGGUGGUGCAACCACGUGUGUCAGCUCACUGCUGAGCUCAGCGCUGGAGGCCCUGCUUUGGGUGAGUUCUGCUGUGGGAUGUGCCAAUGGGAAUGGACUGAAGCGGCUCAAAGCGUUCCAUGGGAGCUCAGCCUGCAUGCCUUUCUCCCAGCAGGUUGGAUGUAAGUUGGGUCUGAUGAGUUCCAGGUGUUCUUCCAAAGGUUUGGAACUGGAGAGAACAAUUGUGGGCAGCCAUGGGGUCACCUUUUCCCCAGGUGUGGAUGAGGGAUGUAUGCUGAGCCAGGAGGUCCUACUUAGUGCUUAAAGGAGCCCACAAGCAGGAUGGGGACUGGCUUUUUACAUGAGUAGGUAGUGAUAGUACAAGGGGGAAUGGUAUUAAACGGAAAGAGGAGAGAUUUACGUGAGAUGUCAGAGGGAAAUUCUUUACUCAGGUUGGUGUGGCUCUGGCACUGCUGCCCAGAGCUGUGGGUGCCCCAUCCCUGCUGGUACCCAAGGCCGGGUGGGAUGGGGCCCUGAGCAGCCUGAGCUGAUGGGGGGCAGAGCACAGGGUGGAGGAUGGGGCCGGGUGGGCUUUAAGGUCCCUUCCAACCCAACCAUGCUGUGAUUUGGGGGUUUCAUUAGCUGGGUGUGUGUGCACUGCUGCCAGUGCAAGCUUCCCCAAAGCCUAACAGUCUGCAAAGUGCUUUCCAGAGGGCUUCAUUUCCCUUUUUUAAUCACAGAUCUGGCCGGGAUGGACAGGAGGAUGGAGGUGGGAGGAAGGGGUGUGUGGGUGAGAGGGGUUAAGGAGGAGCAGCGCAGUGCCAUAGCGGCGGCCACGGCGGGGCAGUGCGGCUCCGUGCACGGCAGUGCGGCAACGGCGGGGGGGGAGGGAGGACGGGAGAAAGGGGGAAACAUUAAGCAAACAAAUGAAAACAACACCAAAAAAGGGGGUAGGGAGAGAAAAAGGAAGCAAAACCAAAAAGAAAGCCAGCCUGCAAAUGUAAAUGCACCAGCUACGUGCCAAGUGAAGGUGCUGAUGCUGUGAUAAGCCUUCAGGUCUGCAAAGUUUGCUGGGAAGAAAAAAGGGAUUCACGUCCAUAGGGGAUCAGAGCGCUGCUCUGACGUUGCUAUUUUUCUUUCAGCUUGGAAGGUCCUUCCCCUGCUCUCCCCCACUGGAUUCAAACCAGGCAGUGAAGCCAGGUCUGUUCCUGGAGCCGUUGGAGGCUCACCGAUGUCUGUCUUCGGACCUCCCUGCUGAUAAAGAUUUAUGUGAUAGGAACAAUUUGGUUGGGGUCAGGAUUUCUCCUCCAUAGAACCCAGGGCUACGUGGGGAGCUGCUGGGAUCCCAGCACAGCCUCUGUCCGGUUUCAGUUACAGCUUGAGGUAUUUUUGCCUCUUCUCUUUGCACGGGAUUUAAAGCUGAGAUAUGCAAACAGAGGCUGUUGUCCACCAAUGUCCUCCAAUGGGCGACUGCUCUCCAGCUCCUUGCAUACAGUAUCUGCACACAGUAGCUUUUGCCUUCUUGCACAAGUAUUUUAAUUGCUAAUUUGCUGGUGUCAUUUAGCUCAGCUUUGGCAUUUAUCACUUGGAUUUAAACUUGUUCAAACCGACGAUUUUCUUGGCUACCUGUGUUAAUAAUUUAAAGGCAAAAGCUCAUCACUAAGUUAUUAUGGGUAAUUAUUUUGUAGCUGGUGUGGAAAUGGUCAUUUCUGCAGCCUUAACGAAUCAUUGAAUCAUAGAAUGGUUUGAAUUGGAAGGGACCUUAAGGACCAUCUGGUCCAACUCCCUGCACUGCACAGGGACACCCACAGCUCCGUCAGUGCUCAGAGCCCCUCCAGCCCUGACCGUGGCUGUCUGCAGGGAUGGAGCACCACCACCUCUCUGGGCAACCCGUGCCAGUGCCUCACACUUACUGUAAAGAACUUCCUUAUGUCCAGUCUACCUCUCCCCUCUUUUAGCGUGGAACCAUUUCCCCUUGCCCCUCCGUCUCUCACCCAGCAGUGCAGCACAGGAGCGCUCUGAUUGCGAUCAUGCAGUCAUCGAAGGGGUCGUCCCCCAAAAGGAUGCUUUGAUUUUCGAUGUGACACCCAGAAUCAUUUGAAGAAAUAAUGUGUGAGGGGAAAAAAAAAUAUUACCUCCGGCAGUUGUGUUAUAACGGCUCUUGUGCUGACAGCCCUUUGGGAACGGUGGCAGCAGCAGGGUCAACAGCUAUUCCAGACCGACGUGAUGCGGGAGGGACCGGCCUGAUUCACAUCGCCUCAGCCAUCGCUUCCCUCGCAGCAUCUCCCCGGCAGAGCAGAGGUCCUGCUGGAGCCAGGUGGGGCCAUUAAAGGAGCUGUGAACUUUUUACAAGUCGC
ensembl:lncRNA